UAAUAAUAAUAAUAAUAAUAAUAAUAAUAAUAAUAAUAAAAACAUUGGCAGAAAUGUACAUUUUGAAAGACACCGCAGUAAAAGCUUCCAAGCUCCAGAAAUAAAAGACACUAAUAAUUUAAUAACGUUUUUCUGAGGAGACGGCAGACUCGUAACGACACCACAGACACAAAACCAUCGCAGGAAGUCGGCUCUGAUAUUAUAACGCAGUUCUGAUCUUUUAUAAAGACCCUCUUUCUCCUUUCUAAAUAAAAUAACCACUGAUUUGUUCCAGUUAUUGAACCUGUCUGAGAAACUCCCUAAACUAUAAAACCGUUUAAAGCAUUAUGAAGAUCAGUGAGUGUCGAGUGAAUGAGUGAGUGGAUGAAUGAGUGAGUGAGUGAGUGAAUGAGUGAGUGAGUGGAUGAAUGAGUGAGUGAAUGAGUGAGUGAAUGAAUCAGUGGGUGAGUGGAUGAAUGAAUGAGUGAGUGAAUGAGUGAAUGGGUGAAUGAAUGAGUGAGUGGAUGAAAGAGUGAGUGAAUGAGUGAAUGAGUGAGUGAUGAGUGAAUGAGUGAAUGUAUGAGUGAGUGAGUGAGGAAUGAAUGUGAAUGAGUGAGUGAAUGAGUGAGUGAGUGAGUGAAUGAGUGAGUGAAUGUAUGAGUGAGUGAGUGAGGGAAUGAGUGAGUGAAUGAGUGAGUGAAUGAGUGAGUGAAUGAGUGAAUGAGUGAGUGAAUGAGUGAGUGAAUGAGUGAGUGAAUGAAUGAAUGAAUGAGUGAAUGAGUGAGUGAAUGAAUGAAUGAGUGGAUGAAUGAGUGAGAGAGUGAAUGAGUGAGUGAAUGAGUGAGAGAGUGAGUGAAUGAGUGAGUGAAUGAGUGAGAGAGUGACAGUGAGUGAAUGAGUGAGUGAGAGAGUGAGAGAGUGAGUGAAUGAGAGAGUGGUUGAGUGAGUGAGUGAAUGACUGAAUGAGUGAGUGAAUGAGAGAGUGAGUGAGUGAGAGAGUGAGUGAAUGAGUGAGUGAGUGA
ensembl:lncRNA